rnacentral:rRNA from 1 species
ACGCUGGCGGCGGGCCUAACACAUGCAAGUCGAGCGGUAGAGAGAAGCUUGCUUCUCUUGAGAGCGGCGGACGGGUGAGUAAUGCCUAGGAAUCUGCCUGGUAGUGGGGGAUAACGUUCGGAAACGGACGCUAAUACCGCAUACGUCCUACGGGAGAAAGCAGGGGACCUUCGGGCCUUGCGCUAUCAGAUGAGCCUAGGUCGGAUUAGCUAGUUGGUGGGGUAAUGGCUCACCAAGGCGACGAUCCGUAACUGGUCUGAGAGGAUGAUCAGUCACACUGGAACUGAGACACGGUCCAGACUCCUACGGGAGGCAGCAGUGGGGAAUAUUGGACAAUGGGCGAAAGCCUGAUCCAGCCAUGCCGCGUGUGUGAAGAAGGUCUUCGGAUUGUAAAGCACUUUAAGUUGGGAGGAAGGGUUGUAGAUUAAUACUCUGCAAUUUUGACGUUACCGACAGAAUAAGCACCGGCUAACUCUGUGCCAGCAGCCGCGGUAAUACAGAGGGUGCAAGCGUUAAUCGGAAUUACUGGGCGUAAAGCGCGCGUAGGUGGUUUGUUAAGUUGGAUGUGAAAUCCCCGGGCUCAACCUGGGAACUGCAUUCAAAACUGACUGACUAGAGUAUGGUAGAGGGUGGUGGAAUUUCCUGUGUAGCGGUGAAAUGCGUAGAUAUAGGAAGGAACACCAGUGGCGAAGGCGACCACCUGGACUAAUACUGACACUGAGGUGCGAAAGCGUGGGGAGCAAACAGGAUUAGAUACCCUGGUAGUCC